AUUGAACGCUGGCGGCAUGCCUAACACAUGCAAGUCGAACGAGUGGCGGACGGGUGAGUAAUGUCUGGGAACCUGCCCGAUGGCGGGGGAUAACUACUGGAAACGGUGGCUAAUACCGCAUACCAUCGGAUGUGCCCAUAUGGGAUUAGCUAGUUGGUGGGGUAAAGGCUCACCUAGGCGACGAUCCCUAGCUGGUCUGAGAGGAUGACCAGCCACACUGGGACUGAGACACGGGCCAGACUCCUACGGGAGGCAGCAGUGGGGAAUAUUGGACAAUGGGCGAAAGCCUGAUGCAGCCAUGCCGCGUGUAUGAAGAAGGCCUUCGGGUUGUAAAGUACUUUUGGCAGAGAAGCGGUAGUUGCAGAAUAAGCACCGGCUAACUCCGUGCCAGCAGCCGCGGUAAUUC
rnacentral:rRNA from 1 species